UACGGAGGGUGCAAGCGUUAUCCGGAUUCACUGGGUUUAAAGGGUGCGUAGGUGGGAAUGUAAGUCAGUGGUGAAAUCUCCAUGCUUAACAUGGAAACUGCCAUUGAUACUAUGUUUCUUGAAUCUUCCGGAGGUCAGCGGAAUAUGUCAUGUAGCGGUGAAAUGCUUAGAUAUGACAUAGAACACCAAUUGCGAAGGCAGCUGACUACAGGGGCAUUGACACUGAGGCACGAAAGCGUGGGGAUCAAACAGG
rnacentral:rRNA from 1 species